ACGAACGCUGGCGGCGUGCUUCACACAUGCAAGUCGAACGGAAAGGCCCUGCUUGCAGGGUGCUCGAGUGGCGAACGGGUGAGUAACACGUGGGUGAUCUGCCCCUUACUUUGGGAUAAGCCUGGGAAACUGGGUCUAAUACUGGAUAGGACCAUGCUGUAGGUGGUGUGGUGGAAAGAUUAGUUUCGGUAAGGGAUGAGCUCGCGGCCUAUCAGCUUGUUGGUGGGGUAAUGGCCUACCAAGGCGUCGACGGGUAGCCGGCCUGAGAGGGUGGACGGCCACAUUGGGACUGAGAUACGGCCCAGACUCCUACGGGAGGCAGCAGUGGGGAAUAUUGCACAAUGGGCGCAAGCCUGAUGCAGCGACGCCGCGUGGGGGAUGACGGCCUUCGGGUUGUAAACUCCUUUCAGCCAUGACGAAGCCCUUGUGGUGACGGUAGUGGUAGAAGAAGCACCGGCUAACUACGU
rnacentral:rRNA from 1 species